rnacentral:rRNA from 1 species
UAGGGAAUCUUCGGCAAUGGGGGGAACCCUGACCGAGCAACGCCGCGUGAGUGAAGAAGGUUUUCGGAUCGUAAAGCUCUGUUGUAAGAGAAGAACGUGUGUGAGAGUGGAAAGUUCACACAGUGACGGUAACUUACCAGAAAGGGACGGCUAACUACGUGCCAGCAGCCGCGGUAAUACGUAGGUCCCGAGCGUUGUCCGGAUUUAUUGGGCGUAAAGCGAGCGCAGGCGGUUUGAUAAGUCUGAAGUAAAAGGCUGUGGCUUAACCAUAGUAUGCUUUGGAAACUGUCAAACUUGAGUGCAGAAGGGGAGAGUGGAAUUCCAUGUGUAGCGGUGAAAUGCGUAGAUAUAUGGAGGAACACCGGUGGCGAAAGCGGCUCUCUGGUCUGUAACUGACGCUGAGGCUCGAAAGCGUGGGGAGCAAACAGG